GCCAAAAGUCCAUCGAGUCUUUUAGAGCAGAGCCACCUCCUAAACCAGCCAAGACAGCUUCAAGGGGUCGGCAAAAAAUUGUCCGUAAAACUCAGAGUCUUGCGCACUUGGCUGCAGCCAGGAUUGAAGGUAGUCAGGGAGCAUCCACAAGCCAUGUUUGUGAUAGUAAGGUUAGCUGCCCACAUCACAGGCCUGGCAUUGAAGGCAGUGUUCCCAAGUCAGGAGAUGGUAUCAGAAUGCCUAAUGGAGAUGUUGUUUCUAUUGGGAAAAUUUUGAAGCGGCUACGUUUUGUAGAUAAAAG
rnacentral:misc_RNA from 1 species